AGUGAACGCUGGCGGUAGGCCUAACACAUGCAAGUCGAACGGCAGCACAGGAGAGCUUGCUCUCUGGGUGGCGAGUGGCGGACGGGUGAGGAAUACAUCGGAAUCUACUCUGUCGUGGGGGAUAACGUAGGGAAACUUACGCUAAUACCGCAUACGACCUACGGGUGAAAGCAGGGGACCUUCGGGCCUUGCGCGAUUGAAUGAGCCGAUGUCGGAUUAGCUAGUUGGCGGGGUAAAGGCCCACCAAGGCGACGAUCCGUAGCUGGUCUGGGAGGAUGAUCGGCCCCACUGGAACGGGGACACGGUCCAGACUCCUACGGGAGGCAGCAGUGGGGAAUAUUGGACAAUGGGCGCAAGCCUGAUCCAGCCAUACCGCGUGGGUGAUGAAGGCCUUCGGGUUGUAAAGCCCUUUUGUUGGGAAAGAAAUCCAGCUGGCUAAUACCCGGUUGGGAUGACGGUACCCAAAGAAUAAGCACCGGCUGACUUCGUGCCAGCCGCCGCAGUAA
rnacentral:rRNA from 1 species